CUCCUGGCAGCGUUCCUAAGGAAUCCUAGUCCAUACGAGAUGCAUAGCCAGACACCAGCUCCUGGUCGCAUUCCUAAGGAAUCCUAGCCCAUACGAGAUGCAUAUCCAGACACCAGCUCCUGGCCACGUUCCGGAGGAAUCCUAGCCCAUACAGGAUGCAUAUCCAGACACCAGCUCCUGGCCGCGUUCCUGAGGAAUCCUAGUCCAUACGGCAUGCAUAGCCAGACACCAGCUCCUGGACGCGUUCCUGAGGAAUCCUAACCCAUACGAGAUGCAUAGCCAGACACCAGCUCCUGGCCACGUUCCGGAGGAAUCCUAGUCCAUACGAGAUGCAUAUCCAGACACCAGCUCCU